GCGAAACUGUAAAAGCCAUCUUUACUUCCUGGCGUUGUUCUACUGUACCUGCUCGACUUAGACUACCCAUCCAGACUCAGCAGUCUGACAUGGUAAAGGCUUUUCAAGAAAUUGAACAAUAUUGCUACGUGUGAGAACUUUUACAUUUAUCUAUCAGUAAUUACUUUAAUAACCUAUUCAUGUAUAGCUGGUAAAUAUAUUAUUUUAAACAUUCUUAAUUGUUUUUAUAUUGUAGGAUGACAACAGCAAAAAAUCAUGCCAAGAUUAUUAUUCUAGUUUCAUAUUGUCAUUUAAGAAAAAUAUUCUUAAAAGCCACGCACACCGGAUCGAACUAGAAUAAUUUUCUUAGCAGGAUUUCAAUUCAAGAUAAUUUUUCUAAUUUUGUCCCAUGGGUAAGUAAAAUUUUCUUAUUAAGAUUAUUUUUCUUAUUUCAAGAAAACGUUCUAGCAAAAUUUUCUUAUUACCAGAAAAUAAUUCUUGGGAAACUAAGAAUUUUUUUCUAGAAAUAAGAAAAUUUUGCUAGAACGUUUUUUUGAAAUAAGAAAAAUAUUCUUGAUAAGAAAAUUUUACUUACCCACGGGACAAAAUUAGAAAAAUUUUCUUACCAAGAAUUUUGUUCUAACCAAGAUUAAUUUUCUUAUUUUAAGAAAAAUUUUCUUGAAAUCUGAUUCUUACCUAUAAUAUUUUACUUACCCACGGGACAAGUAAAAUUUUCUUAAAACAAGUAAUUUUGUGCUUAAAAUAAGUAAUAUUUUCUUAAAACAAGAAAUUGAUUUUUUGCAGUGUGGCCACGGUGGGAAUCGAACCUACGACCUAUGCAAUACCUUAAAAUUGAACAUUUUUUAUUGUAUUUGGUUUUAGGCAGCUGUGGGUGCUUAUUAUGAUUUCAAUAGUUCUCAAUCAGUUGAGAAGUUGCCAAACAUGGAGUUUUUACAAGAUAUAACUAUUGGAGAAGGGGAGGCCGUGCCACCAAGUACCAGAUUUAUUAAGACGUGGAGAUUAAAGAAUAAAGGU